rnacentral:rRNA from 1 species
AGUGAACGCUGGCGGUAGGCCUAACACAUGCAAGUCGAACGGCAGCACAGUAAGAGCUUGCUCUUACGGGUGGCGAGUGGCGGACGGGUGAGGAAUACAUCGGAAUCUACUUUUUCGUGGGGGAUAACGUAGGGAAACUUACGCUAAUACCGCAUACGACCUACGGGUGAAAGCAGUGGAUCUUCUGACCUUGCGCGAUUGAAUGAGCCGAUGUCGGAUUAGCUAGUUGGCGGGGUAAAGGCCCACCAAGGCGACGAUCCGUAGCUGGUCUGAGAGGAUGAUCAGCCACACUGGAACUGAGACACGGUCCAGACUCCUACGGGAGGCAGCAGUGGGGAAUAUUGGACAAAGGGCGCAAGCCUGAUCCAGCCAUACCGCGUGGGUGAAGAAGGCCUUCGGGUUGUAAAGCCCUUUUGUUGGGAAAGAAAAGCAGCAGGUUAAUACCCCGCUGUUCUGACGGUACCCAAAGAAUAAGCACCGGCUAACUUCGUG